rnacentral:rRNA from 1 species
CAGCAGUCGCGAAAACUUCACACUGGAGGCAACUCCGAUGAGGGAAUUCCUAGUGCCAGUGCAUUUAGUGCUGGCUUUUCUUAAGCGUAGAUAACUUAAGGAAUAAGGGCUGGGUAAGACGGGUGCCAGCCGCCGCAGUAAUACCCGCAGCCCAAGUGGUGGUCGAUUUUAUUGAGUCUAAAACGUUCGUAGCCGGUUUGGUAAAUCCUUGGGUAAAUCGAGAGGCUUAACUUUUCGAAUUCCGAGGAGACUGCCAAACUUGGGACCGGGAGAGGCGAGAGGUACUUCUGGGGUAGGGGUAAAAUCCUGUAAUCCUAGAAGGACCACCGGUGGCGAAGGCGUCUCGCUAGAACGGAUCCGACGGUGAGGGACGAAGCCCUGGGUCGCAAACGGGAUUAGAUACCCCGGUAGUCCAGGGUGUAAACGCUGCAGACUUGGUGUUGGGGGCCCUACGUGGGCGUUCAGUGCCGGAGAGAAGUUGUU